rnacentral:rRNA from 1 species
CAUAAAGGCUUCGUACGUGACCUGCGGAAGGAUCAUUAACGAAUUGACGGCUCUCCGGAGCUAGAUUCUCACCCUUUGUAUAUCUAUCUUUGUUGCUUUGGCAGGCGCCUGGCGCCUGUCAGACGUAAAACCCUUGAAUUUUUGCCGUCUGAGUACUAUCGAAUAGUUUAAAACUUUCAACAACGGAUCUCUUGGUUCUGGCAUCGAUGAAGAACGCAGCGAAAUGCGAUAAUUAAUGUGAAUUGCAGACUCAGUGAACCAUCGAAUCUUUGAACGCACAUUGCGCCCCCUGGCAUUCCGGGGGGCAUGCCUGUUCGAGCGUCAUUACAACCCUCAAGCUCUGCUUGGUGUUGGGCUCGCCCUGCAGGGCCUGCCUCAAAGUCAGUGGCGGCACAGUCUGACCCUGAAGCGUAGUAAUACUCGUCGCUUUUUCGGUGAGGCUGGGCCAGCCAGCCAACCCCCACCAUCAAGGUUGACCUCGGAUCAGGUCGGGAUACCCGCUGAACUUAAGCAUAUCAAUAAGCGGAGGAA